rnacentral:rRNA from 1 species
AGAGUGAACGCUGGCGGCAGGCCUAACACAUGCAAGUCGAACGGCAGCACGGUCGUAGCAAUACGAUGGGUGGCGAGUGGCGGACGGGUGAGGAAUACAUCGGAAUCUACCUUGUCGUGGGGGAUAACGUAGGGAAACUUACGCUAAUACCGCAUACGAACUAUGGUUGAAAGCGGCGGACCGCAAGGCGUCGCGCGAUUGGAUGAGCCGAUGUCCGAUUAGCUAGUUGGCGGGUAAAGGCCACCAAGGCGACGAUCGGUAGCUGGUCUGAGAGGAUGAUCAGCCACACUGGAACUGAGACACGGUCCAGACUCCUACGGGAGGCAGCAGUGGGGAAUAGUUGGACAAGUGGGGGACAACCCUGAUCCAGCCAUGCCGCGUGUGUGAAGAAGGCCUUCGGUGUAAG